rnacentral:rRNA from 1 species
AAAGGGCGCGUAGGCGGAUAUAUAGGUGUGAUGUGAAAGCCCUGGGCUUAACCUGGGAAGUGCAUCGCAAACGAUAUAACUGGAGUAUAUGAGAGGGUGGCGGAAUUUCCGGUGUAGCGGUGAAAUGCGUAGAGAUCGGAAGGAACGUCAAUGGCGAAGGCAGCCACCUGGCAUAAUACUGACGCUGAGGCGCGAAAGCGUGGGGAGCGAACAGGAUUAGAUACCCUGGU